GAUGAAGAACGUAGCGAAAUGCGAUACGUAAUGUGAAUUGCAGAAUUCAGUGAAUCAUCGAGUCUUUGAACGCACAUUGCGCCCCCUGGUAUUCCGGGGGGCAUGCCUGUCCGAGCGUCAUUGCUGCCCUCAAGCACGGCUUGUGUGUUGGGCCUCCGUCCUCCUCCCGGGGGACGGGCCCGAAAGGCAGCGGCGGCACCGCGUCCGGUCCUCGAGCGUAUGGGGCUUCGUCACCCGCUCUUGUAGGCCCGGCCGGCGCUUGCCGACACAUCAAUCUUUUUUCCAGGUUGACCUCGGAUCAGGUAGGGAUACCCGCUGGACUUAAGCAUAUCAAUAAGCGGAGGA
rnacentral:misc_RNA from 1 species